GACGAACGCUGGCGGCGUGCCUAAUACAUGCAAGUCGAGCGAACAGAUGAGAAGCUUGCUUCUCUGAUGUUAGCGGCGGACGGGUGAGUAACACGUGGGUAACCUACCUAUAAGACUGGGAUAACUCCGGGAAACCGGGGCUAAUACCGGAUAAUAUUUUGAACCGCAUGGUUCAAUAGUGAACGACGGUUUCGGCUGUCACUUAUAGAUGGACCCGCGCCGUAUUAGCUAGUUGGUAAGGUAAUGGCUUACCAAGGCGACGAUACGUAGCCGACCUGAGAGGGUGAUCGGCCACACUGGAACUGAGACACGGUCCAGACUCCUACGGGAGGCAGCAGUAGGGAAUCUUCCGCAAUGGGCGAAAGCCUGACGGAGCAACGCCGCGUGAGUGAUGAAGGUCUUCGGAUCGUAAAACUCUGUUGUUAGGGAAGAACAAAUUUGUUAGUAACUGAACAAGUCUUGACGGUACCUAACCAGAAAGCCACGGCUAACUACGUGCCAGCAGCCGCCGUAA
rnacentral:rRNA from 1 species